CACUCCUGCGGGAGGCAGCAGUGGGGAAUUUUGGACAAUGGGGGCAACCCUGAUCCAGCAAUGCCGCGUGAGUGAAGAAGGCCUUCGGGUUGUAAAGCUCUUUUGUCAGGGAAGAAACGGUAGUAGCGAAUAACUAUUACUAAUGACGGUACCUGAAGAAUAAGCACCGGCUAACUACGUGCCAGCAGCCGCGGUAAUACGUAGGGUGCAAGCGUUAAUCGGAAUUACUGGGCGUAAAGCGUGCGCAGGCGGUUGUGUAAGUCAGAUGUGAAAUCCCCGGGCUCAACCUUGGAAUUGCAGUUGGGACUGCACGGCUAGAGUGUGUCAGAGGGGGGUAGAAUUCCACGUGUAGCAGUGAAAUGCGUAGAUAUGUGGAGGAAUACCGAUGGCGAAGGCAGCCCCCUGGGAUAACACUGACGCUCAUGCACGAAAGCGUGGGGAGCAAACAGGAUUAGAAACCCUGGUAGUCCCAUGA
rnacentral:rRNA from 1 species